UGCAAGUCGAGCGGCAGCGACAACAUUGAUUCUUCGGAGGAUUUGUUGGGCGGCGAGCGGCGGACGGGUGAGUAAUGGCUGGGAACCUGCCCUGACGUGGGGGAUAACAGUUGGAAACGACUGCUAAUACCGCAUGAUGUCUUCGGACCAAAGAGGAGGACCUUCGGGCUUCUCGCGUCGGGAUGGGCCCAGUUGGGAUUGGCUAGUUGGUGAGGUAAUGGCUCACCAAGGCGACGAUCCCUAGCUGGUUUGAGAGGAUGAUCAGCCACACUGGAACUGAGACACGGUCCAGACUCCUACGGGAGGCAGCAGUGGGGAAUAUUGCACAAUGGGCGCAAGCCUGAUGCAGCCAUGCCGCGUGUGUGAAGAAGGCCUUCGGGUUGUAAAGCACUUUCAGCAGUGAGGAAGGCGUAGUGGUUAAUACCCGCUGCGCUUGACGUUAGCUGCAGAAGAAGCACCGGCUAACUCCGUGCCAGCAGCCGCGGUAAUACGGAGGGUGCGAGCGUUAAUCGGAAUUACUGGGCGUAAAGCGCAUGCAGGCGGUUUGUUAAGCAAGAUGUGAAAGCCCCGGGCUCAACCUGGGAACCGCAUUUUGAACUGGCAGGCUAGAGUCUUGUAGAGGGGGGUAGAUCUUCGGGUGUAGCGGUGAAAUGCGUAGAGAUCUGAAGGAAUACCGGUGGCGAAGGCGGCCCCCUGGACAAAGACUGACGCUCAGAUGCGAAAGCGUG
rnacentral:rRNA from 1 species